AUAUUUGAUGUCUGCCUCUUCUUCUUCUAUAAGGUCUCCGUGAAGCGGAUCCGAAUGAAGGAGGACACAACCACAAUGAAAGUUCAGGAACAAACAUCCCAUAAUAGUCCCAGUGGUUCAGAGUGAGUCCAGCGGAUAUUUGGAUCUGAUCAACAGUUUCACAGCUGAACCAAUAAACACCUUCAUUCUGUUCUGAUGUUUCAUGAUCUAUCAGCGUCUGAGCUUCUGUUCAGAGUUUAUACACAUGAAACACCACUUUAUUCUGAUCAUGUUCUGACUUGGUUUGGAAAAUACUUCUUUAUCAGAAUAGUCCAAAGAGUUCUUCACUCUGUGUAUGAUGCUUUUAUUAAUACAGUAGAACAACAUUUAUACUGAAAUAUGACUUUUUAUGUGUAAAAAUGAGCCUUUGAUUCUCUGGUGGUGAUCCUAAACCUCCAUCCAUAGUUGACUGAACAGUUGAAUUGUGGGUAAAACCUGGAAGAUCUCCAAAGCCACAUCCAGAUGAGCUUCCAUCUCAUCACGUCCAACAUGAACUAGAGUUUCUUGUGCUUUGAGUCGACCACAGUUUUCUGUCCUACGUUCACUGGACAGUCUGAACCCUUUAAACAUUUGUAUCAUAUUUGCUACACCAGGUUCUGAAAGCUUUAUCUAAUCAACAGGAGCCAUACUUUCCUUAAAAAUGUGUUGUAUAUGACCCGGUACAUGUUUUCUGCCCCCUGGUGGAUUAUCAUCCCACUGCAGCCAGUGGAAAGGCUUUUUUUUCUCCCUUUUCAAAAUGGCCGCUAAUCAUCCAACACAUGUUUUGUAGGAAAGUCUUUGGUAAUUUUCAAAAAGUUACAUUAAGAAGAACACUUGUAUAUUUAUUCAGCUGAAAAUUUUAAAUAUCGAAAAAUAUUGAAAUUAUGUUGCUAUUCAAGGGAAAUAAAGGAGGCCGUAAAAAGUUUUAUGCAAAAAAAAAAAAAAAACUACCUGGAAUGUUGUAUAUUUUCAGAAUGUUACUGGUAAAGUUAUUUUUUUUUUUUAUCUAAAGUUAAUAUUGUUGUGAGCAAAAAGUUCCCAAAAACACCCAAUGUAUUGAAUGUGAUACAAAAGCAAUAAUAAACAAAAUGAUGUGUUCAAGUGUUUUGUUUGGAUUCUGUUACAAAAGCUAAUAAACAUUUGAAUUUCCAAA